rnacentral:lncRNA from 1 species
CUGUGUGCAUCAGCACGUGCAUCUUUGUGAUUUUGAAGGAGAGUGUGCACCAGGACCACAGCACAAUCUAGAGAGUGCAUCCCUAUUUUUAAACUCUAUUUUUACCCAUUUCUACUUGGAUAGAAAUUGCAUUUUUUGUUUUUUAUUAAUACAAAGAAAAGUUUCAGUGAAGUCAUUUUCAGCUUCUCCAGGUCAAUAAGGAAAUAUGCUCAGUGGGGGUGGGGGCAGUGGGGGAUAUUCUAACACAGGUCUCGUCAGAGCCCACCGCAGGGUGGGAGAGUGGCCUCUCCUUGGGCUCCUGGCGUGGGGACGCCCGCAGGGCCCCAGUGCCCACCCUGCUCCCUGCAGGGGUCCCGAGGUGAACGCAGAGGGCCAAGGGAGCCAGGGACGAGGGCUUCUCCUGGGGGAGCGGUCACCCGCCCGGGGCACACGGGCAAGCUGCUGCUGCUGCGUUUGGGGGCCGCAGGCAGCCCAGUUAUCUGGGCUGGAUAGCCUGUCCCCUGCCCAGCGCGGCGGGGAACAGCUGGAGUGACAGCGAGACCCCUCCAGGCGUGCCUGGUCAGGGGGUCUGCACCAAGACAGACGCCAGCAGAGGUCCCGAAGACACACGAAGCGUCACCGUGAGCACCGACCAGGAGCCGCCCUGUGCACCUCCCCCCGCGGCCUCAGCCCGGCCCGGAGGUUUCGACUGGCCGGAACGGGAGGCCGUCCCUGCAGCUCAACUGGGAAUGACAGUGCGAAGGGAUCAGAGUCCCAGCCUCACGAUGGGGCGUUUAAGUUCGUGCUUCGGGCGCUGCUUAUGCUGUCUGCAGAGUGGUGGCGGGGUUGGAGAGGGGCGGGGGGGGGGGCGGGGGGAGGGGGUGGAGCAGAGGGCGAGGGAGGGGGGUGCCGGUGGGGGGCCAGGUGGGGGCUUCGAGGUGGGGAAGGGGCCCACGGGGCGGGGAGGGGUGGUGGGGCUGGGGGGGGCGGGGCCGGGGGCGAGGCGGGGCCGGGGCGGGGCCGGGGCGGGGCCGGGGGCCGGUGGGCGGCUCCUUGCCCCUGCAGGGAAGCCUGCAUCAGUGUGGGCCUUGGUGAUUGAUUUUUUUC